rnacentral:tRNA from 2 species
GGGCAGGUGGCGAAAUGGUAUACGCGCUAGGUUUAGGACCUAGUGUCGCAAGACGUGGAGGUUCGAGUCCUCUCCUGCCCA